ensembl:lncRNA
GGGCGAGGACACGGAGGCCGGCGCCGUGACCAGCAGGCGGCGUCGCGCCUUCAACAAGAUCUUCAGGAAGAGGACGUAGACCCCCUUCCCCCGAGAGAGGGAUGUGUUGACACAAGCGCGUUGUGGGCUGACGAUGGUCCAGGCGUUGGACAGAAGUACCAAGCUUUUCCUCACAGGGUCAGGGCCAGUAACCCCCGGAGGUGGGGUUCAGAACCAGAACGAGCCGUCUACUUUUUCGGACUUUGGGCCGCAUCUCUGGCCUCUGUCGUUGUCCUUGUCGUUGAAUUUCCUCAUAAAGCGCGUUCAUCCACAACACCACGUGUUUAUAAAGCUGGGGCUCCACGUGUUCUUGUGUUGUGAAUCAAAGUUCUCUGACGCAGUCAAAUCGUGUUUUCACUCGUUAUACAAAUGCAUCAUUUGCAUACAUCAUAACCUAUAUGAAAUGUUUUUGUGUGUAGGUGUGUAUGUAUAUAUAUAAUAUAUAUAUAUUAAUAUAUAUAUAUAUUAUUUUUUCCUGUCAGUUUGCACAAGUUUAUAUCCGUUUUUAAGACCCCGGUUCAAUGCUGCCACAAGUCCAGACUGUGUGUCCAAGAGUUUUGUGUCUGUCUGUCUCUGCUUGAAGGUAAUUUGGGGUUAAACUAUUUAGGAGCUAUAAUACCUGUUUAUCUUCCACUUAUAAAUAACUUGGGUUUACAAUGGGAUGGUACAUAGAGGCAUUUCAUGUUAGGCAGGAUUGUCAUUUAGGGGAUUUCCAUCAACCGCGUCUGUCUGCCAUUUUUAAAAAUAAAUUGGUACAAUAUCUAUAAAAGACAAACCUUGUUCGAUGUUGUAUAUAUAUUGUAUACCUGAAUUGAUUGUAAAUUACAAGUUUCUCUCAGAUAUAUUUUAAUGUAACACAUUUGGCAUACUAAGUAUGCUAAAUAUGAUCCACAAUUCACAUCUUAUGGGACAUAUUAGAAUUUACAAUAAAAUGUAUGAAACAAAAAUACUAUAUGUAUGAAACAAAAAUACUAACCCUAAACAAAAGGCCAACUGCAAUUGUGUUGAAGAGAGAUAACUACAUUCAAUUAAAAUGCAAUUCCCCAUUGAUGUAAAUGUAUGUGGCAAGACAAUAAAGUUAUCUUUUCUGACUCAAACUGACUUUCCACUUCUCCCUUUCCACCAAUGUUGGCAAAGAUGCAGAACAUUGUGUUGACCUCUCCGGCACGGCUAAGAACCCUCCACAUCCUGUAGGUUGAUGGAUUUUUCCCUCUGAAGAUGUUUGUCCUCCACAAAAAAAACGCUCACUAACUAAACGACCAAAUGACAAAUGGCCAGGCUCAAAGUGAUUCAAGACGCACCGCGUGCCUCAGGCAAAGAAGCUGGAAAUGUGUGAGUGUGCGCGCUAAAUAUAACCAGCCCCGGAGAGCGCCCUCCCAGAAGGGCUGGUGCUCAACUUCUAACAUAACUCAGAGAGCAGAGAGCGACCCGUACGCUAAACAAACUUUACGCGGGCUUCGAUUACUCGGAGUAUGGAGGAGGAGGUCCCAGUGAAGCGGUCCGUGGCAGAACUGGCGGGGAAGUUUAAAAAUGUCGUCCCUGACAAUGAGCCAGCACCCAAGCCGGUCAGACUUCGCCCUCCCCGGUCCUUACAGAUCCAGUUACAGCACCCUGCAGAACAAGAGAAAGCAGAAGGCGCCACCACCCAGCUCGCUGCAGGACGACCCAAGCGGAACUCUGCCCUCAUAGAGAAGUUACAGGCUAACUUAGCCCUCUCUCCCUCUGCCCUUCUGACAUCGCCCUUGAGCCCCGGCUUCAAGUUCUCCCCCAAGCUUUCACUCCCCCUCCCCUGCCGCCCCGUUUCCUGUCACACCCCGUUUUCGGGUAACGCCGGUGACACCCACCAGCCCGCUGGCUGUCCUCACACCUCAGAGCGAGGAGGAAGCCCCCGCUUCCUUCGAAACCCCCCCCAGCGCCCAGGAAGGAGCCGUGCUCGUCAGCAUCAUUAAGACCAGGGCCCGCCUCUCCAUCAAGAGACGGCCUCCCUCCCGGCGCAACAGGACGGCCAGCAGCGGGGAGGAAGGGGGCGUGUCCCCCAGCACGGAGGACACGCCCCCUCUGGCCCCCUCCAGCCAGCCAGGGGAGGAGGAGCCAAAGGGUGAAGGAGAUGACGAAGGGGCGGCGCCGAGGAGCCAGGAGGGGCUCGAUGGGGAGGAGGCCCCCAGCGAGGGGCUCCCCGGACCCCCGUCGGCGAUGGAUCAGGAGGGACAUGCAGUCACACAGACGGGAACUCCUCCAGAGCCUCUGAACAGCACUGAGACCAAGGAGGAGGAGGAGGAGGAGGAGGAGGAGGAGGAGGAGGG